AUCCUUCCAAGUUUUGAACAAAUGAUGAAAGCCUAGCGUGUACCAUAUGAACAAUGUACUCUCCUCCCCUCUGACCGGUGCAGCUCUCCAUCCAUUCAGGACGGCUUAAGUGGCUUGCUGGUCGGAGGUUGGAUGGGGGGAUGAUAUCAGCGUUCGGCACAACCCACCUUGUUACUUUGCGGACGCAAUGAAAAGGCAUCUCUGAUCAACAAUUCGUGGAAGGUGUUGAAUUGCUCAUGUAUUGUGUGUUCUUGGCUUCGGCGUCUCCCGAUUAGGGACCUUUGUUCCUCUGUCCAUUUUGCAAGUGCGCGUUGACUUUCGCGUAGUAUUGGAUCCACCGGUGUUUGAAUCUCCCUUCGAGGGUAUUUAUUUUUACAUUUUCACUCGACCACUAAUGAAUGUCCCUGUAGUUUUCUAAGAGUGUUAAGAGACCUUUCUGCAAUAUUCUAUGCCAUUGUAUAUCCAAUAAUAAUACAUUGAUUUCAACGAAAAGAAA
rnacentral:sRNA from 1 species